rnacentral:rRNA from 1 species
UACAGAGGUCUCAAGCGUUGUUCGGAUUCAUUGGGCGUAAAGGGUGCGUAGGCGGCGAGGUAAGUCGGAUGUGAAAUCUCGGAGCUUAACUCCGAAACUGCAUUCGAUACUGCCGUGCUUGAGGACUGGAGAGGAGACUGGAAUUUACGGUGUAGCGGUGAAAUGCGUAGAUAUCGUAAGGAAGACCAGUGGCGAAGGCGGGUCUCUGGACAGUUCCUGACGCUGAGGCACGAAGGCCAGGGGAGCAAACGGG